rnacentral:rRNA from 1 species
GUUCUGGCUCUGGACGAUGCCUUGCGGUGCGUCUCAAACAUGCAAGUCGAAUGGGGUGAUUGAGAAAUGACUCCAUGGCGAACGAGGGAGUAGAAAUAUGGUGACGUGCCUCUUCCUGGGGAAUAACACAAUGUGGAAUACCGCAUAAAGAAAAGCGAAUAGGGUAGGGUCGAAUAGUAAUUCGGUUGGCAAUCUAGUCUAUUCGUGGGAAGAGAUCGGCUGUAUAGGUAUCAUCGGAUAGUUGGUGUGGUAACGGCUCACCAAGUCGGGGACGCCUAAGGGGCUCGAAAGAGAGUACCCUCCCGUCGGAACUGAGACACGGUCCGAACACUUGUGUGGCAGCAGUUGAGAAUAUUGGUCAAUGGGCGAAAGCUUGAACCAGCGAUACCGCAGCAUGACGAAGGAUUCAUCCGUAAAGUGCAGAAGUGAAGGUACAGAAGGAGAUGCUUUCAUGGAAUAGUCCUGUGCAAUCUCGGUGCCAGCACACGCGGUCAUACCGAAAGGGCUAGGCAUGUCUAUUGGAACUCGGUGUAAAGCGUCUGUAGGCGGUUCAUCAUAGUAUGCUUCAACAAUCGAGGCACAACCUUUAGAAGGGGGCAGAAAAGACGUGAGAACUUGAGUCUAGUCCGAGGAUCGCGGUACGCUUCAUGGACCGGUGAAAUGGGUUGAUAUGAAGUGGACCUCCAGUGGUGAAGACGGCGAUCCACUAUAGUACUGACGCUGAGAGACGAAAGCAUGGGGAGCAAAGUGGAUUAGAGACCCACGUAGUCCAUGCUGUAAACGAUGCCCGUUCGUUGGGUGGGUGCGAGUUUUGACUUACCUAUCCGACUUAGCUAACGCGGUAAACGGGCCACCUGGAGAGUAAGGUCGCAAGACUGAAACCCAAAGAACUAGGCGGGGACCCAUAUGAUGGGUGGGACAUGUUGCUUAAUGCGAUACUACACGUGGAACCUUACCUGGGCUAGACGCAUAGAGAAAGAAUAGCAUAUCGUGUGGAUAAGAUCAUACCAUGCGAGAUUCUGGUUGGCAUCUAUGGUCAGGUGUUGCAUGGCUGUCGUAAGCUCGUGUCGUGAGAUGUUUGGUUCAUUCCACCAACGAGCGCAACCUGUGGAAUGGGAGGAAGGGAUAGAGCGAACAACCGAAGAGGGCUGGGUGCAUGUAUGUGUGCCAGGUCGGUCGGGUGGAGAAUCUAUCUGGAGAGAGCAUACCGGGAGUGUCUCAAAGCAUUCCCGUGAGAGAGCUUGAUCCGUGGGAACAGAGAUGGACCCAACUUCUUGCCCAACGUAGAACCCAGUACACCUGGGACGGAAGCAGACGAAGUCAAGUCCUUAUGACCCUUAUGCCCAGGGCUGCAGAUGUGUCACAGUGUCUGUGGACAAACCGUCGUGAUGUCGUAAGAUGGAACGAAUCGGUGAAACCAUGACGUAGUACGGAUUGUGGACUGCAACUCGUCCACAUGAAGUCGGAACCCAUAGUAAUCGUUCAUCAGCACGGAACG